rnacentral:rRNA from 1 species
GAGCUUGCUCCCUGAUGUUAGCGGCGGACGGGUGAGUAACACGUGGGUAACCUGCCUGUAAGACUGGGAUAACUCCGGGAAACCGGGGCUAAUACCGGAUGGUUGUUUGAACCGCAUGGAUUCAGACAUAAAAGGUGGCUUCGGCUACCACUUACAGAUGGACCCGCGGCGCAUUAGCUAGUUGGUGAGGUAACGGCUCACCAAGGCGACGAUGCGUAGCCGACCUGAGAGGGUGAUCGGCCACACUGGGACUGAGACACGGCCCAGACUCCUACGGGAGGCAGCAGUAGGGAAUCUUCCGCAAUGGACGAAAGUCUGACGGAGCAACGCCGCGUGAGUGAUGAAGGUUUUCGGAUCGUAAAGCUCUGUUGUUAGGGAAGAACAAGUGCCGUUCAAAUAGGGCGGCACCUUGACGGUACCUAACCAGAAAGCCACGGCUAACUACGUGCCAGCAGCCGCGGUAAUACGUAGGUGGCAAGCGUUGUCCGGAAUUAUUGGGCGUAAAGGGCUCGCAGGCGGUUUCUUAAGUCUGAUGUGAAAGCCCCCGGCUCAACCGGGGAGGGUCAUUGGAAACUGGGGAACUUGAGUGCAGAAGAGGAGAGUGGAAUUCCACGUGUAGCGGUGAAAUGCGUAGAGAUGUGGAGGAACACCAGUGGCGAAGGCGACUCUCUGGUCUGUAACUGACGCUGAGGAGCGAAAGCGUGGGGAGCGAACAGGAUUAGAUACCCUGGUAGUCCACGCCGUAAACGAUGAGUGCUAAGUGUUAGGGGGUUUCCGCCCCUUAGUGCUGCAGCUAACGCAUUAAGCACU